rnacentral:rRNA from 1 species
GACGAACGCUGGCGGCGUGCCUAAUACAUGCAAGUCGAGCGAGCUUGCCUAGAUGAAUUUGGUGCUUGCACCAAAUGAAACUAGAUACAAGCGAGCGGCGGACGGGUGAGUAACACGUGGGUAACCUGCCCAAGAGACUGGGAUAACACCUGGAAACAGAUGCUAAUACCGGAUAACAACACUAGACGCAUGUCUAGAGUUUAAAAGAUGGUUCUGCUAUCACUCUUGGAUGGACCUGCGGUGCAUUAGCUAGUUGGUAAGGUAACGGCUUACCAAGGCAAUGAUGCAUAGCCGAGUUGAGAGACUGAUCGGCCACAUUGGGACUGAGACACGGCCCAAACUCCUACGGGAGGCAGCAGUAGGGAAUCUUCCACAAUGGACGCAAGUCUGAUGGAGCAACGCCGCGUGAGUGAAGAAGGGUUUCGGCUCGUAAAGCUCUGUUGGUAGUGAAGAAAGAUAGAGGUAGUAACUGGCCUUUACUUGACGGUAAUUACUUAGAAAGUCACGGCUAACUACGUGCCAGCAGCCGCGGUAAUACGUAGGUGGCAAGCGUUGUCCGGAUUUAUUGGGCGUAAAGCGAGUGCAGGCGGUUCAAUAAGUCUGAUGUGAAAGCCUUCGGCUCAACCGGAGAAUUGCAUCAGAAACUGUUGAACUUGAGUGCAGAAGAGGAGAGUGGAACUCCAUGUGUAGCGGUGGAAUGCGUAGAUAUAUGGAAGAACACCAGUGGCGAAGGCGGCUCUCUGGUCUGCAACUGACGCUGAGGCUCGAAAGCAUGGGUAGCGAACAGG